rnacentral:rRNA from 1 species
CUGGCGGAAUGCUUUACACAUGCAAGUCGAACGGCAGCAUAGAGAGCUUGCUCUCUGAUGGCGAGUGGCGAACGGGUGAGUAAUAUAUCGGAACGUGCCUAGUAAUGGGGAAUAACUAGCUGAAAGGUUAGCUAAUGCCGCAUACGACCUACGGGUGAAAGCAGGGGAUCUUCGGACCUUGCGUUAUUAGAGCGGCCGAUAUCUGAUUAGCUUGUUGGUGGGGUAAUGGCCUACCAAGGCGACGAUCAGUAGCUGGUCUGAGAGGACGAUCAGCCACACUGGAACUGAGACACGGUCCAGACUCCUACGGGAGGCAGCAGUGGGGAAUUUUGGACAAUGGGGGCAACCCUGAUCCAGCCAUUCCGCGUGAGUGAAGAAGGCCUUCGGGUUGUAAAGCUCUUUCGCAAGAGAAGAAAACUUGCUAUCUAAUAAAUAGUAAGUAUGACGGUAUCUUGACAAGAAGCACCGGCUAACUAC